rnacentral:rRNA from 1 species
UGCAGUCGAACGAGAGAGAGGGAGCUUGCUUCCUUGAUCGAGUGGCGAACGGGUGAGUAACGCGUGAGGAACCUGCCUCAAAGAGGGGGACAACAGUUGGAAACGACUGCUAAUACCGCAUAAGCCCACGACCCGGCAUCGGGAAGAGGGAAAAGGAGCAAUCCGCUUUGAGAUGGCCUCGCGUCCGAUUAGCUAGUUGGUGAGGUAACGGCCCACCAAGGCGACGAUCGGUAGCCGGACUGAGAGGUUGAACGGCCACAUUGGGACUGAGACACGGCCCAGACUCCUACGGGAGGCAGCAGUGGGGAAUAUUGCACAAUGGGGGAAACCCUGAUGCAGCGACGCCGCGUGGAGGAAGAAGGUCUUCGGAUUGUAAACUCCUGUUGUUGAGGAAGAUAAUGACGGUACUCAACAAGGAAGUGACGGCUAACUACGUGCCAGCAGCCGCGGUAAAACGUAGGUCACAAGCGUUGUCCGGAAUUACUGGGUGUAAAGGGAGCGCAGGCGGGCGAUCAAGUUGGAAGUGAAAUCCAUGGGCUCAACCCAUGAACUGCUUUCAAAACUGGUCGUCUUGGGUAGUGCAGAGGUAGGCGGAAUUCCCGGUGUAGCGGUGGAAUGCGUAGAUAUCGGGAGGAACACCAGUGGCGAAGGCGGCCUACUGGGCACCAACUGACGCUGAGGCUCGAAAGUGUGGGUAGCAAACAGGAUUAGAUACCCUGGUAGUCCACACCGUAAACGAUGAUUACUAGGUGUUGGGAGAUUGACCCUCUCAGUGCCGCAGUUAACACAAUAAGUAAUCCACCUGGGGAGUACGACCGCAAGGUUGAAACUCAAAGGAAUUGACGGGGGCCCGCACAAGCAGUGGAGUAUGUGGUUUAAUUCG